rnacentral:rRNA from 1 species
GACGAACGCUGGCGGCGUGCUUAACACAUGCAAGUCGAACGAUGAAGAAAAGAAUUGAAGCUUCGGCAGAAAUUCAUUUCGGAUUAGUGGCGGACGGGUGAGUAACGCGUGAGCAACCUACCUCUUACAAAGGGAUAGCCUCGGGAAACCGGGAUUAAUACCAUAUAACAUUGCGACGAAGCAUUUCGAUGCAAUCAAAGCUACGGCGGUAAGAGAUGGGCUCGCGUCCCAUUAACCAGAUGGUGAGGUAACGGCUCACCAUAGUAACGAUGGGUAACCGGCCUGAGAGGGUGAACGGUCACACUGGAACUGAGACACGGUCCAGACUCCUACGGGAGGCAGCAGUGGGGAAUAUUGCACAAUGGAGGGAACUCUGAUGCAGCGACGCCGCGUGAGUGAUGAAGGAAUUCGUUUCGUAAAACUCUGUUCUAUGGGAGGAAAAGGACUGUACCAUAGGAGAAAGCUCCGGCUAAAUACGU